CUCACCUCUGACCCGCUGCUUGAACAGCUGAAACUCCUCGUGGAUAUGGAGGCAGGAUUGGCUUGCUCUGGGUCUCUCCCCCGGCUGGGUAUGUGCUCAGGAACUGCUACGAUCUCGCGCUGGCAUGGCUGGGGCGGCCCCCUUUCGGCACAAGGGGUCCUCCUGAGUGAUAAGAAGAUGGGAAGAGGCAGUUCACGUGAGCAGCCCCGAGAACACGGAAGACGCCGUGUACCAGCGCGUGGCUGGCUCCUGCCCGUCAGAGGACGCGGUCCGUGGAAGAAAUCUGGGCGAUAGUUAAGCCCCAGAGAACUGUGCUCCUGCUACUUUGCCGGCUUUUUUUAUAACCUGUCUUCCCCCUCUUUCCCCCUGUGUGAUACAUCAGAAACCCUCUGCGUUUGGAAAGGUACUGACUUUAUUCAUAGAAACCCUCUUGAACCCUGUAAGACACAUCAAAACU